GUUAAGCGACUAAGCGUACACGGUGGAUGCCCUGGCAGUCAGAGGCGAUGAAGGGCGUGCUAAUCUGCGAUAAGCGCCGGUAAGGUGAUAUGAACCGUUAUAACCGGCGAUACCCGAAUGGGGAAACCCAGUGUGAUUCGUCACACUAUCAUUAACUGAAUCCAUAGGUUAAUGAGGCGAACCGGGGGAACUGAAACAUCUAAGUACCCCGAGGAAAAGAAAUCAACCGAGAUUCCCCCAGUAGCGGCGAGCGAACGGGGAGGAGCCCAGAGCCUGAAUCAGCAUGUGUGUUAGUGGAAGCGUCUGGAAAGGCGCGCGAUACAGGGUGACAGCCCCGUACACAAAAGCGCAUGUGCUGUGAGCUCGAUGAGUAGGGCGGGACACGUGGUAUCCUGUCUGAAUAUGGGGGGACCAUCCUCCAAGGCUAAAUACUCCUGACUGACCGAUAGUGAACCAGUACCGUGAGGGAAAGGCGAAAAGAACCCCGGCGAGGGGAGUGAAAAAGAACCUGAAACCGUGUACGUACAAGCAGUGGGAGCCCCACCACUAAGCCAGUGGUGAACUCCACAUCCGCAUCC
rnacentral:rRNA from 1 species